rnacentral:rRNA from 1 species
UACAGAGGUCCCGAGCGUUGUUCGGAUUCAUUGGGCGUAAAGGGUGCGUAGGCGGCGGGCAAGUCUGAUGUGGAAAUCCCCGGGGCUCAACCCCGGAACUGCAUUGGAUACUGCUUUGCUAGAGUACUGGAGAGGGAACUGGAAUUUACGGUGUAGCAGUGAAAUGCGUAGAGAUCGUAAGGAAGGCCAGUGGCGAAGGCGAGUUCCUGGACAGUAACUGACGGCUGAGGCA